rnacentral:tRNA from 14 species
GCGGGAAUAGCUCAAUUGGUAGAGCGUCAGCCUUCCAAGCUGAAUGUUGCGGGUUCGAGUCCCGUUUCCCGCU